AGAGUUUGAUCCUGGCUCAGGAUGAACGCUGGCGGCGUGCUUAACACAUGCAAGUCGAACGAGAGAAGAUCGGUGCUUGCACUGAUCCGAUCGAGUGGCGGACGGGUGAGUAACGCGUGGGUAACCUGCCUCAUACAGGGGAAUAACAGUUGGAAACGGCUGCUAAAACCGCAUAAGCGCACGGUAUCGCAUGAUACAGUGUGAAAAACUCCGGUGGUAUGAGAUGGACCCGCGUCUGAUUAGCUAGUUGGUGAGGUAACGGCCCACCAAGGCAACGAUCAGUAGCCGGCCUGAGAGGGUGAACGGCCACAUUGGGACUGAGACACGGCCCAAACUCCUACGGGAGGCAGCAGUGGGGAAUAUUGCACAAUGGGGGAAACCCUGAUGCAGCGACGCCGCGUGAGUGAUGAAGUAUUUCGGUAUGUAAAGCUCUAUCAGCAGGGAAGAUAAUGACGGUACCUGACUAAGAAGCACCGGCUAAAUACGUGCCAGCAGCCGCGGUAAUACGUAUGGUGCAAGCGUUAUCCGGAUUUACUGGGUGUAAAGGGUGCGUAGGUGGUGAGACAAGUCUGAAGUGAAAAUCCGGGGCUUAACCCCGGAACUGCUUUGGAAACUGCCUGACUAGAGUACAGGAGAGGUAAGUGGAAUUCCUAGUGUAGCGGUGAAAUGCGUAGAUAUUAGGAGGAACACCAGUGGCGAAGGCGGCCUACUGGGCACCAACUGACGCUGAGGCUCGAAAGUGUGGGUAGCAAACAGGAUUAGAUACCCUGGUAGUCCACACCGUAAACGAUGAUUACUAGGUGUUGGGAGAUUGACCCUCUCAGUGCCGCAGUUAACACAAUAAGUAAUCCACCUGGGGAGUACGACCGCAAGGUUGAAACUCAAAGGAAUUGACGGGGGCCCGCACAAGCAGUGGAGUAUGUGGUUUAAUUCGACGCAACGCGAAGAACCUUACCAAGUCUUGACAUCCUCUGACGAACGUAGAAAUACGUUUUCUCUUCGGAGCAGAGAGACAGGUGGUGCAUGGUUGUCGUCAGCUCGUGUCGUGAGAUGUUGGGUUAAGUCCCGCAACGAGCGCAACCCUUAUCUUCAGUUACUAACGCGUAGAGGUGAGGACUCUGAAGAGACUGCCGGGGACAACUCGGAGGAAGGUGGGGACGACGUCAAAUCAUCAUGCCCCUUAUGACCUGGGCUACACACGUGCUACAAUGGCCACGACAGAGAGAAGCGAAAUCGCAAGGUAGAGCGGAACUCAAAAAAGUGGUCCCAGUUCGGAUUGUGGGCUGCAACCCGCCCACAUGAAGUCGGAGUUGCUAGUAAUCGCGGAUCAGCAUACCGCGGUGAAUACGUUCCCGGGCCUUGUACUCACCGCCCGUCA
rnacentral:rRNA from 1 species